UCUCCUGCUGGAUAGCUCAGUCGGUAGAGCAUGAGACUCUUAAUCCCAGGGUUGUGGGUUUGAGCCCCACGUUGGGUGAA
rnacentral:tRNA from 1 species